rnacentral:rRNA from 1 species
CCUACGGGAGGCUGCAGUAGGGAAUCUUUCACAAUGGGCGAGAGCCUGAUGGAGCAACGCCGCGUGCAGGAUGAAGGCCUUCGGGUUGGAAACUGCUUUUAUAAGCGAGAAAUAUGAUGGUAACUUAUGAAUAAGGAUCGUCUAACAACGUGCCAGCAGCCGCGGUCAUACGUAGGCUACUAGCAUUAUCCGGAGUGACUGGGUGUAAAGGGUUGCGUAGGUGGGAUAAUAAGUAGCGGGUGGAAUCUGGUGGCUCAACCAUUCAGACUAUUAGCUAAACUGUUAAGCUCGAGGCCGGUAGGGGUAACCGGAAUUUGUAGUGUAGGAGUGAAAUCCGUAGAUAUUAGAAGGAACACCGAUAGCGUAGGCAGGUUACUGGGACGGUUCUGACACUAAGGCACGAAAGCGUAGGGAGCAAACGGGAUUAGAUACCCUAGUAGUC